rnacentral:tRNA from 1 species
GAGGGUAUGGCUCAGGGGUAUGGCAUGUGCUUAGUAUGCGCGAGGUCCUGGGUUCAAUACCCAGCACCUCCA